GACGAGCCUGGCCCCGUUUGGCUGGUAACUGUGGCACUGUGUCAGCAGGACAGGUCCCAGCCCAGAGGGGCCAGGCCGGAGCCAGAGGAAGUCGAAGCCGUCCUGGUUCCUGCUUCCAGGUGGCUCCAGUGGUGUCCGGGAGGAAGCUGUGGAGCGGGAAAUGCAGGUCUGAGGAGAAUGCUUGCUCACUGGGAGUCUCCUGUUGGCAGUGUGCAUUUCCAAUUCCUGGUGACCGUGUUUCUGUGUCUGUGACCUGAAUCUGCUCUACCGUCUGCGGGGUCCCGGUGUCCUCUCCUCAUCCCCGAAGCCUCACAAGCAGAGGGGAGUGACGCUGCUCAUCAGAUGGACAAUGACUCUGUGCCCUCCGGGGGCCCCACAGGAUCAUGGGUCCUGAGAACAGAAGAGGUGGACAGGGGGACCUGGAGAGCUGCCAUGCUGAGAGGACCAGGAGAGGGCCAGGAGAGGGCCAGGAGAGGGCCAUGGGCACAGCGGCGCAGCACAGGUGCCCCCAGCAGCUGGCAAAGGCCCAGAAACAGGCCCCGGCCUCCACACCUCAGGCUCAGGCCUCCACUGGGGUCGGAC
rnacentral:lncRNA from 1 species